GCUGAGGAAUGAUGACAUAAAAGGCCGAAUUCCAGCGCUGCCUCCAAGCAGUUUACUCUCUGGGUGAGGCGGCGCGAUGAAAAAAACUCCUUGAAGCGAAAUCAAAACUGACCUCAGC
ensembl:snoRNA